rnacentral:tRNA from 1 species
GCCUGGCUGGCUCAGUCAGUAGAGCAUGAGACCCUUGAUCUUGGGGUUGUGAGUUCAAGUCUUACACUGGGUA